UUGACGAUAAUCUUAAAUUUUGAUAUGAGAUUUGAAGUCGGUUUUUUUGCUUAAAAAUUACUUGUAUUUUUGCAUUCUCAAGAUUUGCUAACUUUAGCUGGUUUCUGGUCAGUUCUCUUUUGCUGGGUCUGAUUCUUACUUUCGCCAUUAAUACAUUGUGGUCUGAUGGUACGUCUGCACCUGGAUAUAUCUUUGCAUUUAUUAAUUAGGAUUUGUAGUUCACUUGAUUCCGAGUCACAUUAUCUGCUUUGCCCUGGGGCGAUUUCCACGUAUAUAGUCUUCUUUCUGGUAAUUUAUAAAGAGUAUUGCUUAUAACAUAGUCUUCCUCUUGGCAGAAUUGUACUAAUCGAUUUCCACGUUCAUUACGUUUACCUGGCCUAUUUACAGUUUUCUCUUUGCCCACUUUGGCAUUGAAAUCACCCAUGAGUAUGUUAAUCUCGUGUUUCUUUGUGGUUCUUAAUAUCAUCUUCACGUCAGAAUAAAAAUUCUCCAUCUCAACGUCAGCACAGUCAGCAGUUGGGGCGUAAAUUUGUAUGAUGUUCAAGUCAAUUGGUUUACCGUUUAGUUUUACAAGUAUUUUUCUGUCAGAAUACGGAAUAACUUCUUUUACAUUCUCGUAAUAUUUUCUGUAUCAUUUCCUGAAUAGUAUAGUUUUACUUCCUCUUGUAUUUGUCCAUUCUGAGGCCACCACGCCUCACUUAUGCCUAAAAUAUCUUUGUUCAAUUUUUUAAACUCUUACGGUAUUUUCUAAUUUUCCUGGUUCGUAUAAGCUCCGCACAUUCCAUGUUGCUAUGCUUAUAGUACUCUUAUUUUUAUUUGUUCGUUUUUUUGAUUCGUGUAUGUACGUAUUUCUGGUGAUGAUGUUCUUUCAGUGGUUUUUUAAUACGCCAAGGUUUUAUUCCCAAGAGAUCAAAAUUAUUUAACACAUUCAAUGCAAAUAAUGAGUUUUUACAGUUAAUUUUUAGUGGUGGUUUUAUAGCUAUGAUACUGCGGGGGUGCAGUUUUGUAAAAACUUUUGUUAAGAGCUUACCAUGAAUUUAUUUGAUGUGUCGCUUUUCAAUUUGUAGAAAACAAAAGACUCAAAAAUACAGAAAAGUAUAGAAAAUGUUUGCAUUCGUUGAGAUACUUCACUAUAUGAAUGUUGAAAGAUGCGAAUAUUUUAUUUAAAAUAAAGAUAAUAGCAACCAGCAACUUUUACACAAAACUUCUCUAUAAUAAAUUUGUGAAAAACACUCUCAUUCUUAUAUAAAUAUAGAAACUACGAUUUUUCAACAUUAUUUUAACCCAACCCUCAAUUCUCUUCUUCAGACAAUCAAACUCAUUAUACCGUUAGCUCCAGCUUGUCUCCAGAUGGAGGGCGGCCUACGCCCGCUUGUUGUUCGCAGAACUGUAGCUGCUUACUCUGCUGUUCAAUACUACCAAUAAGACUUCCCUAUAUACGGUUGUUUUUCAACUUUAGCGACGCCCUUAUUUUGUAUUUUUGUCACAAAACUAUUUGAACAUUUCGUUCCUAUGCGAUAAGUAAAUUUAGCUCAAACGCAUUUUCAUUAACCAGUAGAGUAACAAUAAUCUUAAUCGAAAACAGCAGUUUCACUUCGGGCAUGUGGCUGGCAACGUUAUCACAACGUUUGUUCACCAUUUUGCCGAAAAAUCAUACUCGCGAAAGAUGCUAUGCUUUUAUCGGAUGAUUUUUAAUUGCAUCGUAACGAAUCGAAACGUAAUUAGUUUGUGAAGUAAAUAUUUGACUGGCGGAAAUUGUUAUGGUAAAAAUUCCAGCCCUCAUUGCUUUGUUUUGAAUUUAAUUGAACUAAUUUAUAUAUAUACUUACAUGAAAAACUAAAUAUAUACAUGUAAGUUUUUUUUAAAUAGUCUAGACAUUUUAGAUAAACAUUCCUUAGAUGCAUCCAUUGAGAACUACAUAUGUUUGUCUGUAUUGCUAAUAAUAUUAUCUUUUGAGGCGCAUCUACAUACGUGAUUGUCACGCUAAGCUAUCGAGAAGUUUACCUGGCGAAAAUUCAAAUUGCGAUAUUUUUCUACGAAGCUUUUCAAGAAAAAGGUUAAUCGCAUAAUUACGACACUGUGGGCGAUGAAGCAUGAAAAUGCAUGCUGAAAUGUAUUAUAUUCAGUGACUGCAGAAAUAUGCAUAUUUAUGUAUCGACUCUAACUUAUAAAAACUUGAAAGGCAUUGCACAUCAUAGAAAUAUAAUUUCAUAGAUAUUACUCUAUGCAUAAACUUAUCGGAACCCAAAUAUAAAAAAAAAAAACAUACAUGCAUACACAUAAACAUUACAGUUACAAUUCGAGAUUUUCAACGAAAACAGCUGAAAGUAGAAAGACAGCUACACAAUUUGCAUUUUAUUAACAAGUAAUGAUUUAGAUACACUGCAUUUAUUUCGUUAAUAUUGAAUAAUCUUUGUUUCAGUAUUGUAUAAAAACAAAAACCGAUUGGAAAUAAACAUAACUAUAUAUAAAAAAUAUAUAAGAUCGAUGUUUUAGAGGUGGAGAGGAAAGCACAAAGUCGAUUGAAUAAUUUUUCUUAUGGCUAUUUGAGUUCAAAACAUACCGAGCAAAAACAAACAUUUUGAAUUAUUAUAUAUUGAGAGUUUUAUAAAAACUCGAAAUCGUACAAGUAAUCAAACCGCUCCCCGUUGAUUGCCAUUAAUUAAUGUACGUAUGAGCGUGAUUAAAAUUGCCCUUGAUCUUCUAGCAAAAAUCGCAAAAAAUCGAGAUGUACAAAUGUAAGAGCAGCGAACACCAGAUCUUACGUUUUCCGCUGGAAACAAUAGAACGUUUUUAUUGAGCAGAUUUCCAGCACGUCCAUUAUUCAAUACAAGUUAACCAGAGCUAUCACAGAAUCCAUCGUAGUUCGUGAAAUCUGCGAAAAUCCUAUCAUUGAAAUUGAAUAGCUACGAACGUAGCGUCUACUUUGAAUACACACGUUCGUAGCAAUUCGGAUUCAGUGAUCGCAUUUUCGUAGAUUCCACGAAUAACCGGACUACGAUGGAUUCUGUGAUAGCCCCUAACAUUAUCACCUGGCUAUCAAGGUAAGAAACGUUUGAGCGGCAUUAAGAAAUUAGUUCUGAACCAUAGUUGGAUCGAUGGGAACCACAAUAGCCGAUCUACAAAACAUUAAAAAAUAAGGCAAUCGAAUUAGCGACGUUUUUUGAAUUUGUAUUGCAAAAUAAUCUACUAUCUUUGGCUACAUUUUACGAGUACAUCAUGCGAAAACUAAACCGGGAUUACUGUGGUGAUAAGCAACAUAUUUCUGGGGACGCAUUUCCAUAUUGCUCCUUUUUCUAUAAAAUGUAUAAGUCUACUUACUCUCCCUCUCAUUGCCUUACUUAAACUUUAACUUUUGACAGAGCCAACCAAAAUAUUUAAAAAAUAAAAACUUCCCAACAAGCCAAAACUUUUUUUAAGUUUACUAAAAUUAACAUAAAUAAAGCUUACAAGACGCAUAUUUUUGGUUUAUAAAACGCUUGAAACGGAACCUUGUUUUUAAACGUAUGAAUAUAAAUUUAUAAUAAAUAUUAAAAAGAAAGUAUUUUUUUCUUGGUUUAGUCUUAAAUAUUUGCACUUAACUUUUAAAGCUAAGUGAUCUAUAAUUCGCUCCCAGCACCUAUAAAAGAUUAAUUUGCAAAAACUUAAUAAUAAAAACGCUUAUUUAACACUUAAUGUAGCAAGUUACUAUUAAAACUCCUUACAGAAAUGCUUCUUCGGUUCUAUCUGAACAAAAUACUUUCGGUAGAACCAUUUCAGUCUUUUGGUUUUAUGUAGAUAUAUAUAGUCGUGUAAAAAAUAAUAGGGGCAGCACACUUUGACCAGUUUUUGCUAUUUUUCCUUAGUUUGUUUAAGGUUUUUUAUUUUGUUUACCCAAUAAACAUUGGGCUUGGUUAACAAUUCGAAAAUGAUUGGAAAACAAAUCCUUUUCCAGUGUCACCUUCGAUAACUAAUGUGGAAUAGGUUAGUAUUCGAUUCGAGAACUAGGCCAUUCUCCAGUAAAACCGAACCGUCGUUAUCCAGUGUAUUUUCCCUUCGUUAAGAAUUCGAAAUCCAGCCGGAUUAUCUAAUUGGAAUUUUAAUGAGAAAGAGUGAUUUUCUAAUAUUUCCUUCCGAGAAUGAGCUGGAUUUCACUUUCUCUCUUGUUGCUAUGGUUUUAAUUUUUUUUUUCGAAGCCAUCUCUAGUGUAUUUCCAAUAUACUAUGAACUACUAUGGAAAACUAAGCCGCUACACACCACAAAGUACCACCAGGACAAAAAUCACCGACUCUUACCUACCUUCAGGCAAAAACUAUACAAAGACAACAUAACGGAUGUUAAUAUCGAGACAGCGAAGAUUAACCUAUUACCUGGUUCUGAAA
rnacentral:lncRNA from 1 species